rnacentral:rRNA from 1 species
AUCAACUUUCGAUGGUAGGAUAGAGGCCUACCAUGGUGGUAACGGGUAACGGGGUGUUAGGGCACGACACCGGAGAGGGAGCCUGAGAAACGGCUACCACAUCCAAGGAUGGCAGCAGGCGCGCAAAUUACCCAAUCCCGACACGGGGAGGUAGUGACAAUAAAUAACAAUACGGGGUUCUUUCGGAUCUCGUAAUUGGAAUGAGUACAAUUUAAAUCUCUUAACGAGGAACAAUUGGAGGGCAAGUCUGGUGCCAGCAGCCGCGGUAAUUCCAGCUCCAAUAGCGUAUAUUAAAGUUGUUGCAGUUAAAAAGCUCGUAGUUGAAUUUCGGGGUCAGCAGGUUGGUCGUGCCAAUGGUAUGAACUGGCCUUGCUGAUUCCUCCCUCUUGAUGAGCCGUAAUGUCAUUAAUUUGGUGUUGCGGGGAAUCAGGACUGUUACUUUGAAAAAAUUAGAGUGUUUAAAGCAGGCAAGCGCUUGAAUACAUUAGCAUGGAAUAAUGAAAUAGGACGUUUGAUCCUAUUUUGUUGGUUUCAAGGAUUGACGUAAUGAUUAAUAGGGAUAGUUGGGGGCAUUAGUACUCAAUUGUCAGAGGUGAAAUUCUUGGAUUUAUUGAAGACUAACUACUGCGAAAGCAUUUGCCAAGGAUGUUUUCAUUAAUCAAGAACGAAAGUUAGGGGAUCGAAGACGAUCAGAUACCGUCGUAGUCUUAACCAUAAACUAUGCCGACUAGGGAUCGGAUGAUGUUAAUUUUUUAAUGACACAUUCGGCGCCUUACGGGAAACCAAAGUGUUUGGGUUAAAUCA